CUGAUGUACCGAUACCGUUUAAACUUUUGUCUUUAACCCAGUGGUAAAACUUGUAAAGCUAAAAAAAAAAGGAGAACACGUGAGGCACGUGAUACUCUGGGCUCCUUAAUAUCAUCUCGACCAAUUCGAAAGCCCUAGAGGCAGAGUUCUUCUCUCUACUGUCCGAAGCUCUCUCCCCCCACCAACCCAGAUCUCAAUUCUCAUUCAGGAAAAAAAAGAUGAGCAGCCGUUCGAGCAGAACUAUCUACGUCGGGAACCUUCCCGGAGAUAUCCGCGAGAGAGAAGUCGAAGAUUUGUUCAGUAAGUAUGGACCUGUUGUUCAAAUCGAUUUGAAGAUCCCACCAAGACCUCCUGGCUACGCCUUCGUCGAGUUUGAGGAUCCUCGGGAUGCUGAUGAUGCAAUUCACGGUCGUGAUGGAUAUGACUUCGAUGGCCAUUGUUUAAGGGUGGAGCUAGCACAUGGUGGGAGGCGUUCGUCUAAUGAUGCACGUGGUAGUUACGGUGGUGGUAGUCGUGGUGGUGGUGGCGGUCGUGAUGGUGGUGACCGUGGACGUGGGCCAUCUAGGAGAUCUGAGUACCGAGUUGUUGUGUCAGGUUUGCCUUCAUCUGCUUCAUGGCAAGACCUCAAGGAUCACAUGCGUAAAGGAGGAGAAGUCUGUUUCUCUCAAGUGUUCCGUGAUGGCAGAGGUACAACUGGAAUCGUUGAUUAUACGAGCUACGAGGACAUGAAAUAUGCGAUCAAAAAGCUUGAUGACACAGAGUUUCGGAAUGCGUUUUCUCGUGGAUAUGUCCGGGUUAGGGAAUAUGAUUCGAGGAAGGACUCGAGAAGCCCUAGCCGUGGAAGAUCUUAUUCUAAGAGCCGUAGCCGUAGCCGUAGUCGCAGCCGUGGGCGUAGCCACAGCCGCAGUCUUAGCCGCAGCAGGAGCAGGAGUCCAAAGGCUAAAUCUUCACGUAGGUCGCCUGCAAAAUCAACAUCGAGAUCUCCUCGUUCCCGCUCUAAGUCAAGGACACCACCUCCAAGAGGAUAUGGAUAUACCUACAAUCAACUAAAAAUUGGGGAUUAAUAUCUGGAUCAUGGAUUACUUGUACACAAGUGUUUCGUCUCAGAGAUGGGUAACACAGGAGAGACAUUGGAUCACAUUGUUAUAGAUAUGGAUUCAUUGAUGACAGAGCUAGGAACAUAUAUUUUCAUUACCUGCAAAAUCACCAAGCGUGCUGGAUUCUCAUGGAACCGAUGCUGUGCUCAGGACACAGGGUUUGCUAGAACUUGUCUUAGUCUUAGUUUAUGUUCUCUGCUAGUUUGUGUUCUUUUUUGCUUUCUUGUGAUAUCAUUUUUGCAUCUCUGACAUGAAUGAGGGCAUCAAGGCACUUGGUGAAACAGCUAUUAUACACGGAAAACAUAUUAGGAUUCUAAACCUGGAUAUUGUUUCUCGGACUUUUGCAGAUCUCGUUCAAGGUCAAGAUCCCCUCCACCUCCUGUUCAGAAGGAAGCAAGUAAGAGCCCUAGCAAGGUGAGUCCAGCCAAGAGCCCUAUGCGUAGCAGGAGCAAGAGCAGAAGCAGGAGUCCAUCUCGGUAAAACAAAAAAGAAAAGAGAGCUGGGUUCUGUUGGAAGAUUCUCCUCAGGGAUCAUAUCUAUUUUAUGUUGUUCGUUUGUCCAAGACUUAAGUACCUAUAUUUCUCUUGUUUUGUUUUAUUUUUAAAUGUAUUCACUGCAACAAUUUGUGUUUAAGAUUCUCUUAAAAGAUCUUUACUUUUGUUUUUUAUAUUUUGAUAAUAUUAUUGCAGCCA